UUCCUUGUGUUCUUCAGAAGUUACUGCAGCCAGUGCGCAUGCUGUUUCUCCAAUCAGGAAAAGGGAAGUAUUUAAUUUCUUUAAUUAUGAUGUCCUUUUAGAGUGGGUUUUUCUAUUUUAAGCUGCACAUACCUGUUAUAUCUUUAUGAAUGGUAGCGCACGAUAAAACUGUGUAUCCUGCAAUUAUAAAAAAAGACGGAUAAUAUAACUAUGGAUUUAAAAAUACAUUCAGUGCUUACACUUUGGUGCACAAUGUCUUAAAGGUUACUCUAAAUUUUUAGAUCCAUAGUGCCCAUAAGAGUUAGCAACCCUCUUUUUCCCAAAUAGUGGGGAAAAUCAAAUGGAGUUUAAAAAUGAAGUCUGUUUUUGCUGGAGUUAGAGGGAGUUUAGGACUGAGAUGGUUGACUACUGGAGGGCGACACCUAAGCUUAAUAUGGAGUCUUAGGCUAAAGUUUAUGUGGCCUUAUUUUUUAUGAAUUACCAGUAAAACCAAACCCUGGAUGGGGGACAGUUUGGGGAUCCAAAUGGAUUGAAGGCAAACAGAGUUUUGUCAUUGAUUUCAUUGGGAUUUCUAGCAGGCCCUGCCUCCGGAUCUGAAUUCUUUGUUUAAAUACAGGCGGAAACCACCAGACACAUGUGCCUUACCACUUCAAAAUUAUGUUCAGCAUGGGAAAUUAGCUGCAUACCUUUCUGGAGAGCUUAGAACAGGGCUGGGCAAAAUAUGGCCCACAGGCUGGAUCCUGUUGUGACAUCGGUGUUGGAAAUGCAGCUAGAAAAUAUUGAUCUGUGGUCCAGCAAAUUCUCUGGUUCGGCGUCGAUCAAGUCCCAAGGGUGCCGCGCUAGAGAGGUUCAACCUGUAGUUCUUUUAAACUAAGUUGUUCACAUUGGAACAAGCUGACCAGUGUUCUAUGCUGAGGGGAGAAAAACCUUCUGUAUCUACUUUCCUCAACAGUGAAGGAUUGGCCCUGAGCCAUGUAACCCAGGAGUCACUUCUCAUUUUAAAACUUUUAAAAUCUUUUGAAAAGCCCCACAGCCAGGAGCAGAAAGAGGAGAAAAGGAGGGGAGAAGAGACACAAAUAAGAGAGGAGCGAGAAAAGCAGGGGAGAGACAAGGAGAUGAGAAAGAAGGGAGAGGAACCAUGCCACUGAAAAGCAAGCGCUUCUGGGAAGGAAUUUUUUAAAGGUUAUAAAAUUACAUUCAGAAGGACAAUGGAAGAGGAGCAGGUAAAAAAAGAUUAGCACAAACGUGAGCCCUGAUCCUGUGCAGACAGACAUCUGUGCAGCAAUUUGCCAGUUGGGAGCUGCUUGCAAAACAGACACCCUGGUCAUGACCCAGCAGGGACUGUAAACAUGGGCAUAAUGUUAAACUUCAGUGAAGCCAAGGGGACGACCAGCAUGUUUGAGUUCCUCAUGACUUGGUGCUAAAUUGAGUAAACGCCCUUCCAAUAAGCAAGGGAAUGAGAAAAGAGGAAGCUGCAAAGAUCCAGAAACACGAUGCUGCACAUCCCUUGUCAUGAGAUUCGCCCUCCGGCUGAAACACAAUGACAGAACGCAGCUGGCAGGAUGGGGACUGGCGCUGGCAUUUUGGAAGGACAAUUAACCAUUUCACUCAGCAAAAGGGAGACGUAUUUUUCUAAAUGAACCCCAGACUGUUUCAGUGCAAGAUAUUUGUCACAGACACCCCAGAAUCACUGCUAGCCUUUCAAAACUAGGCACCUCCUGCUGGGUGCUUAACUUGCUUAUGCAAUUACCCAUGUCACUUUGGUAUUAGCUGCACUAAUGCAGUAAUUGUGUGCCCAAUUUGCACACACACUUGCACAUGAAAGACAGCCUGAGGAUGAGUGAGUGAAUGGUUAGAUAUAUUGGAGGGGAAAGAGAAAUGGUUUUUCUGCUGCUUUUUAGAAAUACCAGGAAUGUCAAAUCUUGUCUCUGCUGUUUGUUUUUUUUAAAUUGGAGGACUUCCUGGGUAACUCAGACAAGGGUUGGGUGCUUUUCAUCCCUUGAUUCAAAGCCUGGGGUUACUGACCCUGAACAAAGAGCUUUUUGCCCAAAAGUUUUCAGCGAUGCCAGUGUUCCUGAUAAUUCUUGUUACCCUGCUCUUGCAGUCAUGUGAGGCUGCAAGAACCUUGGAUUUUCUUUUUUCAUGUGUGUUAAGCAAAUUUCUAGCCCUGAUGGCUGUGAAGGGAAGCUGGAGUGCAUCACCGCAGAAGAGUCAAAAAAACGGAAGGAAAAUAUAA